AAACCACAAUGAGAUACUACCACUUUACACUUGUCAGAAUAGCUAGUUAAAAAAAGACAAGAAAUACUGGGGCACGUGGCUGGCUAAGUCAUUAGAGCAUGCUACUCCUGAUCUCAGAGUUAUGAGUUCAAACCCCACAAUGGGUGUAGAGCUUACUUAAAAUUAACAUCUAAGGGGUGCCUGGGUGGCUCAGU